GACUAACGCUGGCCGCGUGCUUAACACAUGCAAGUCGAACGGAAAGGCCCUGCUUUUGUUGCUUGUUCGAUUGGCGAACGCGUGAGUAACACGUGAGUAACCUGCUCUUGAGUUUGUGAUAAUUUCACGAAACUUGGGCUAAUACCGGAUUGGAGCUCCUUCUGCAUGUUGGGGGUUGGAAAGUUUCCGCGGUUGUGGAUGGACUCGCUGCUUAUCAGCUUGUUGGUGGGCUAGUGGCUUACCAAGGCUUCGAUGGGUUGACGGCCUGAGAGGGUGACCGGCCACAUUGGGACUGAGAUACGGCCCAGACUCCUACGGGAGGCAGCAGUGGGGAAUAUUGCACAAUGGGCGGAAGCCUGAUGCAGCAACGCCGCGUGCGGGAUGACGGCCUUCGGGUUGUAAACCGCUUUCGCCUGUGACGAAGCGUGAGUGACGGUAAUGGGUAAAGAAGCACCGGCUAACUACGUG
rnacentral:rRNA from 1 species